rfam:Nicotiana attenuata strain TT chromosome 11, whole genome shotgun sequence.
UGGACAGAUUGUUGUAUUCGACUGUGUUCACGGCGUGAAACAGGGGAUUACACUGUUUUUAAAUGGAAAGUGAAUCAAUUAACAUAAUAGACUCCU